UUUAUGUAGUUUAAUAAAAACAUUACAUUUUCAUUGUAAAAUUAAGAAAAUUUCUUUUUAAAUAU
rnacentral:tRNA from 1 species